rfam:Procavia capensis cont1.170407, whole genome shotgun sequence.
CCAGCAGCCCAGACAAAGCAUUGUGAACCUACCUGGGGAUUAGGCCUAGUCUUGUGGAAACUGAACUUAGCUUCGUGGGGCUGACAGCUCUGGCGACCAGGCCAGGAGAGGCC